AAUCAACGCUGGCGGCGUGCCUAACACAUGCAAGUCGAACGAGAAAGUGGAGCAAUCCAUGAGUAAAGUGGCGCACGGGUGAGUAACACGUGACUAACCUACCCUUGAGUGGGGGAUAACCUAGGGAAACCUGGGCUAAUACCGCAUAAUACCUUCGGGUCAAAGGAGCAAUUCGCUUUAGGAGGGGGCCGCGGCCGAUUAGUUAGUUGGCGGGGUAAUGGCCCACCAAGACUGUGAUCGGUAUCCGGCCUGAGAGGGCGCACGGACACACUGGAACUGAAACACGGUCCAGACUCCUACGGGAGGCAGCAGUGGGGAAUUUUGCGCAAUGGGGGAAACCCUGACGCAGCAACGCCGCGUGAAGGAUGAAGCCCCUUGGGGCGUAAACUCCUUUCGAUCGGGAAGAUAAUGACGGUACCGAGAGAAGAAGCCCCGGCUAACUUCGUGCCAGCAGCCGCGGUAAUACGAGGGGGGCGAGCGUUGUUCGGAAUUAUUGGGCGUAAAGGGUGCGUAGGCGGUUCAGUAAGUCUUGUGUGAAAUCUUCGGGCUCAACUCGAAGUCUGCAUGAGAAACUGCUG
rnacentral:rRNA from 1 species